rnacentral:rRNA from 2 species
CGGUAACAGAUCCAGCUUGCUGGAUGCUGACGAGCGGCGGACGGGUGAGUAAUGCAUAGGAAUCUGCCCGAUAGUGGGGGAUAACCUGGGGAAACCCAGGCUAAUACCGCAUACGUCCUACGGGAGAAAGGGGGCUCCGGCUCCCGCUAUGGGAUGAGCCUAUGUCGGAUUAGCUAGUUGGUGAGGUAACGGCUCACCAAGGCCACGAUCCGUAGCUGGUCUGAGAGGAUGAUCAGCCACAUCGGGACUGAGACACGGCCCGAACUCCUACGGGAGGCAGCAGUGGGGAAUAUUGGACAAUGGGGGAAACCCUGAUCCAGCCAUGCCGCGUGUGUGAAGAAGGCCCUCGGGUUGUAAAGCACUUUCAGCGAGGAAGAACGCCUAGCGGUUAAUACCCGCUAGGAAAGACAUCACUCGCAGAAGAAGCACCGGCUAACUCCGUGCCAGCAGCCGCGGUAAUACGGAGGGUGCAAGCGUUAAUCGGAAUUACUGGGCGUAAAGCGCGCGUAGGUGGCUUGAUAAGCCGGUUGUGAAAGCCCCGGGCUCAACCUGGGAACGGCAUCCGGAACUGUCAAGCUAGAGUGCAGGAGAGGAAGGUAGAAUUCCCGGUGUAGCGGUGAAAUGCGUAGAGAUCGGGAGGAAUACCAGUGGCGAAGGCGGCCUUCUGGACUGACACUGACACUGAGGUGCGAAAGCGUGGGUAGCAAACAGGAUUAGAUACCCUGGUAGUCCACGCCGUAAACGAUGUCGACCAGCCGUUGGGUGCCUAGCGCACUUUGUGGCGAAGUUAACGCGAUAAGUCGACCGCCUGGGGAGUACGGCCGCAAGGUUAAAACUCAAAUGAAUUGACGGGGGCCCGCACAAGCGGUGGAGCAUGUGGUUUAAUUCGAUGCAACGCGAAGAACCUUACCUACUCUUGAC